GGAGGGGCGCGAGAAGAAUGCCUGUGCCCGGGCUGCUGGCUGCUCAGGCCCGGGAGGAGCAGGGGGGGCGCCGGUCCAGGAGCGUGGAGCAGGGGGCUGGCUCCCCUGGGAGCUGGCCAGGGCGGCCCCUAACGCUUCUCUCUGGACGUGGCUGAAGCCCCAGGGGACUGGGGCCUCUCCGUAGAACAGAGCCUGUGGGUCCCGGGGCCCUCCCCGCCGUUUGUAACUUGGAAAAGCGAGGCGUGUCUGUUCUGGGGUUCCCCUCUCAUCGGGCCCGUGUCUGCCAGCUGCCCUGGGGACCUGGGGGGCGAAGCCUAAUGUGAUGGCCUGCUGGCCAGGCCCCCGCUCCCCCCCCCCGGGGGACACCCACUGACGGGUGCCAAGCCUGCCCAGGCUCCAGAGCCCACUGGCUGGGUCUCACUCAGGGCUGGGCCCUAACCUCCAGUUCCCCCGACAGCGAGAGGCCCCUGGCAGGUGGGAGUUGGAAGCGAGACAGAGAGGGAGGAAGAAGAUGGGACUCCCGUUCCGAAGAGCGAGUCGGUCUCACGGCCUUGUGCGGCUCGGAAAGCGGCCCGGGCUCCCGGCUGCGGUCACCAGUCACACUACAUGCCCCGCGGAGCCCGGCGCCGCCCAGGUGCUAGCUGGCCGGGAGGAAUAAACGCUCACGUGUCGAUCUCUGGCUGUGCUCCCGGAGUUUGUGGCCCUAAGAGGCUCGAGUCUUUCCGAUGCUUUUCACCUCGGGGUUCCCAGCCCACCCAGCCCAGCGUCAGACCCGCCACCCUGCCCCACCCCCAACAAGUCCUCUGGGGCCAUUGUUCCCCCUGCCUGCCAGCAGCUUUUUGUGGGGUUUGGUGCUAUUGUAGAUGGUACCUUAAUUUUAUUUUCUUUCCUUUGGGUUGCGGGUGGGGGGCAGAAGGAGAGGAAGAGAGAAAAUCCCAAGCAGGCUCCAUGCCCAGCACGUGGGCCCAUCUUGAGGCUCCGUCAGCCAACCCCGAGAUCACGAGCUAAGCCCAAACCAGGAGUCCAGAGGCGAGCCACUGAGCCACCUGGCGCCCCUUCAUUUUGUCUUCUCGCUAACCACGGGACGGAGAGGGAGCCUGAUGUGAGGCUCGAUCCCUGCAACGGAGUUGUGUCCGCGUUACUUAGGUUUGCUGAAAUUCAGUUAAUAGCUCCAGCAGGUUUCUGUUUCAUCUUUUGGUACCAAAAUCAAGGAAUGGACCAAACUCUAGGCGUUUUGGGGGUAAACAUCUUGGAAUAGUCUCCAUAUGCAGUCAUUUCUUCCAGAAAUAAAGGUACUUCUCGCCUCUUCUCCAAUCUGUAUGCCUUUCCCUUCUUUUUCUUGCCAACUGCGCUGGUUAGGGCCUCGAACCCGUGUUGUGUGGAGGUGGUGAAGACGGACGUCAUUGCCUUGUUCUCAGACCUGGGUGUGAAAUGGCUGUCAUUCUGUCUUUCACCUCUGCCGGUAUCUCUUGGGAAUUUUUGCCUGUGUGUUCCUGAGGGACAUUGACCUGCAGUUUCUUGGUAACAUGUCUCUGGUUUUGGUACCAGGGCCCACAUAAAAGCAGCUGGAAAGCCUUCCCUUCUCCUAUGUCCUUAAAGGGCUCGGAGUGCUUGGGGUCCCUCAGUGUUCACCAAUGAAGCCAUCUCCACCCGGGCCCACAAGUUCCGUUCCUUCAGGGAUGCCUGGCUGGCUCCGUUGGUCAUGUGUGCGCCCCAUGUCGGGGCUGGAGAUUACAUAAAAAUAAAAUCUUAAGAUUAAAUUCCCUCAGAUAACUGGGCCAUUCGGAUUUUGUUUCUUCCUGUGUCUGUUUCAGUAAUUGUGUCUUUCAAGGAAUUUGCUUGUAUCUCAGCUGACCUGGAGUUGAUAAUACCCCUUCACCCACCCUUCACGGGAUCUGCACUGAUGGCCCCUCAUUGCUUGCAUUGGUGUUUUGUGUCUUUUCUUUGUUUCUUGAUCAGCAUAGAUAGAAGUUUAUCAGUUUGUUUGGUCAUUCUAAAGAAGCAAGUUUUGGUCUCAGUUUUUCUCCUUUUCUCCAUUUUCUCUUGAUGAUUUCCACUCUUUUAUUAUUUCCUUUCUUGUGCUUAUUUUGGAGUAAUAAAAAUUAUUUGGGGCUUAAUUUACUCAUCCUUUCCAGCUUUUUUUUUUUUGUUUUUUAAGAUUUUAUUUAUUUAUUUGACAGAGAGAGAUCACAAGCAGGCAGAGAGGCAGAGAGAGAGAGAGGAGGAAGCAGGCUCCCGCUGAACAGAGAGCCCGAUGCGGGGCUCGAUCCCAGGACCCUGAGUCAUGACCCAAGCCGAAGGCAGCGGCUUAACCCACUGAGCCGCCCAGGCGCCCCUCCUUUCCAGCUUCUUAAAGUAGAGAAAUUACAAGUACACUGAGAGGCAGGCAGAGAGAGAGAGAAGAAGGAAGCAGGCUCCCCGCUGAGCAGAGAGCCCGAUGCGGGACUCGAUGCCAGGACCCUGAGAUCAUGACCUGAGCCGAAGGCAGCGGCUUAACCCACUGAGCCACCCAGGCGCCCCUAGGUGUUUUUAAUUACAUUGUAGUACAGAGAAUUUACUCUGAUUUCAUGUCUUAAAAAUAUUGAGACCUGGUGUAUGGCUUAGCACAUGGUUUAGGUCGGUGAACGUUCCACGUUUAUUUGAAGAGCGCGUACAUUGUACAGUUGGGUGGUGUGUUCUAUAAAUGUAGAUUAGCUCGAGGUGGUUGCUAGGGGUGUCCAAGUCUUCAGUAUCCUAACUCAUUUUCUCUCCCAGUUUGCUCUGGCCGACUGAGAGAACAGUAGCGAAGUCUCCAAAUGUAACUGUCAAUUUGUCCUUCUCCUUUGGGUUCUGUCAGGUUUUGCUACAUCUAAGACAGUUCCGUUGGCUGCAUUCACAUUUAGGAAUGUUAUGUGCUCUUUCCAUUUGAACGAUUUUAUUUAUUUGAGAGAGAGGGAGCGAGAGCACAAGCAGGGGGAGGGGUGGAGGGACAAGCAGGCUUCCCGCUGGGUGGGGAAGCCCGACGCAGGGCUCCAUCCCUGGACGCUGAGAUCAUGACCUGAGCUGAAGUCAGACGUUUAACUAACUGAGCCACCCAGGCGUCCUGCACUGUUACUUGUUCUUGAUAAACUGACCCUUUUAUCAAUUAUUUUUUAAGAUUUUAUUUAUUUAUUUAUUUGAGAGACAGAGGUCACAAAGUAGGCAGAGAGGCAGGCCGAGAGAGAGGAGGAAGCUGGCUCCCUGCUGAGCAGAGAGCCCGAUACAGGCUGGAUCCCAGGACCCUGAGAUCAUGACCUGAGGCGGAGGCAGAGGCUUUAACCCACUGAGCCACCCAGGCGCCCCAAACUGACCCUUUUAUUAUCAGGAAACACCCCUCUUCAUCUCUGGAAAUGUUCCUUCUUUUGCUAUCAGCUUUGUUGGGUGUAGUCACUCCCACUUCCUUAUGCUUAACUGAUUUCUCGAUACUUUUUUUCUGUUCUGUUCUUUGAACUUGCCUGGGUCUUUAUUUAAAGUGCACCUGUAGACAGCACGUGGUUUGUUCUUUCUUUUUUAACCAUUCUGAUAAUCUCUGCCUUUUAAUUGGCCUGUUGAAUGGUCGGCUUUAAGGCCGCCUCUUGCUAUUUGUUUCUGUCCCGUCUGUCCUUCGUUCCUUUUCUCCUCCAUUCCGGACUUCUUCGGGAUUAAUCAGAUGUUUCUGAUCUUUUUCUUUUUUUUUUUUCUCUCCACUCUUGGCUUGCUAGGGCUAACAACGGAGGCCACAGGUUCAACUCAGGAGACCCCUUCCUGCACCAUGAUCUGAAAGAGCCUUAAGGCCAAAGUCCAGGCUGCUCACUGGGGUCGCUGCAUUUGGUUUCCUUCUGAUCACAGUCUGGCACUGCCUAUUUUCAAUAUUUUGCCUGCAUUCUAGUUGUUUACAAUCAGAAGGCUAUUCUAGUAUUUGUCAUCUGCCAUGGCCAGAGUCACAAGUUUCUCCUCUCUUCUGAGGAGCUCUUCACUCCUAAGGUCGCCCCGCCUUUCUCCUGCAUCACCACGCCUGUCCCAGUAGCAUCCGCUCUCGACCCAACACCUCUCUCCAAUUACAACUCCAAUUCUUUGUUCAUCUUUAAACAGUUUAUUUUAUUUCAUUUACUUUUUUUAAGGAGUGAGCAGGUGAGGGGGCAGAGGGAGAGAAUCUCGAGGAGGCUCCACUGCCAGCAUGGUGCCCGGCACAGGGCUCAGUCUAACCCUAACCCUGAGAUCGUGACCUGAGUGGAAAUCAAGAGUCGGAUGCUGGAGGCACCUGGGUGGCUCGGUCAGUUAAGUGUCUUUGGCUCAGGUUGUGAUCUCGGGGUCCUGAUGUCAAGCCCUGUGUUGGGCUCUGCACUCAGUCUGCUUGUCCUGCCCUCCCCACCCCAUGCUCGCUCGCUCUCUCUCAUUCUCUCUCAAAUAAAUAAGAUAUUUUUUAAAAAGUUUAAUGCUUAACUGACUGAGCCACCCACAUGCCCCUGUUCCUCUUGGUAGCCAAACUUCUCAAAAUAGUUGUCUAUUUCCUUACAUCUCCCCAUGGCCUCGUCAACUCCUUUUUUUAAAAAGAUUGAUUGAUUGAUUGAUUGAUUGAUUGAUGAAAGAGAGAGAGAGAGAGCACAAAUGAACGGGAAGAGUUAGGGAAAGGGAAAAGCAGGCUCCCCACGGAGCAGAGAGCCUGAUGCGGGACUCCUCCCCAGGCCUCCAGGAUCAUGACCUGAGCUGAAGGCAGAUGCUUCACCCACUGAGCCACUCAGGCACCCGUCUUGGACCCCUUCUUUUUUUUUUAAUUUUUAAUUUUUUAUUAACAUAUAAUAUAUUAUUAGCCCCAGGGGUGCAGGUCUGUGAAUUGUCAGGUUUACAUAGUUCACAGCACUCACCAUAGCACAUGCCCUCCCCAAUGUCCAUAACCCAACCACCCUCUCCCUACACUCCUGCCCCAGCAACCCUCACUUUGUUUUGUGAGAUUAAGAGUCUCUUAUGGUUUGUCUCCCUCCUGAUCCCAUCUUGUUUCAUUUUUUCCUUCCCUACCCCCCAAACCCCCGACCUUGCCUCUCGAAUUCCUCAUGUCAGGGAGAUCAUAUGAUAAUUGUCUUUCUCUGAUUGACUUAUUUUGCUCAGCAUAAUGCCCUCUAGUUCUAUCCACGUCCUUGCAAAUGGCAAGAUUUCAUUUCUUUUGAUGGCUGCAUAGUAUUCCAUUGUGUAUUUACACCACAUCUUCAUCCAUUCAUCUGUUGAUGGACAUCUAGGCUCUUCCCAUAGUUUCGCUAUUGUGGACAUUGCGGCUAUAAACAUUCGGGUGCACGUGCCCCUUCGGAUCACUACAUUUGUAUCUUCGGGGUAAAUACCCAGUAGUGCAAUUGCUGGGUUGUAGGGUAGCUCUAUUUUCAACUGUCUGAGGAAACUCCAUGCUGUUUUCCAGAGUGGUUGCACCAGCUUGCAUUCCCACCAACAGUGUAGGAGGGUUCCCCUUUCUCCGCAUCCUCGCCAGCAUCUGUCAUUUCCUGACUUGUUGAUUUUAGCCAUUCUGACUAGUGUGAGGUGGGAUCUCACUGUGGUUUUGAUCUGUAUUUCCCUGGUGUCGAGUGAGGUGGAGCACUUUCUCAUGUGUCUGUUGGCCAUCUGGAUGUCUUCUUUGCAGAAAUGUCUGUUCGUGUCCUUUGCCCAUUUCUUGAUUGGAUUAUUUGUUCUUUGGGUGUUGAGUUUGAUACGUUCUUUAUAGAUUUUGGAUACUAGUCCUUUAUCUGAUAUGUCGCUUGCAAAUAUCUUCUCCCAUUCUGUCACUUGUAUUUUGGGUUCGUUGACUGUUUCCUUUGCUGUGCAAAAGCUUUUGAUCUUGAUGAAAUCCCAAUAGUUCAUUUUUGCCCUUGCUUCCCUUGCCUUUGACGUUGUUCCUAGGAAGAUGUUGCUGCGGCUGAGGUCAAAGAGGUUGCUGCCUGUGUUCUCCUCUAGAAUUUUGAUGGAUUCCUGUCUCACAUUAAGGUCUUUCAUCCAUUUUGAGUCUAUUUUUGUGUGUGGUGUAAGAAAAGGGUCCAGUUUCAUUCUUCUGCAUGUGGCUGUCCAGUUUUCUCAACCCCAUUUUUUGAAGAUACUGUUGUUUUUCCACUGGACAUUCUUUCCUGCUUUGUCGAAGAUGAGUUGACCAUAGAGUUGAGGGUCCAUAUCUGGGCUCUCUACUCUGUUCCACUGGUCUAUGUAUCUGUUUCUGUGCCUGUACCUUAUUGUUAUGGUGAUCACGGCUUUGUAAUAGAGCUUGAAGUCUGGAAUUGGGAUGCCACCAACUUUGGCUUUCUUUUUCAACGUUCCUCUGGCUAUUUGAGGUCUCUUCUGGAUCCAUAUAAGUUUUAGGAUUAUUUGUUCCAUUUCUUUGAAAAAAGUUGAUGGUACUUUGAUAGGGAUUGCAUUAAACGUGUAGAUUGCUCUAGGUAGCAUAGACAUUUUCACAAUAUUUGUUCUUCUAAUCCAUGAGCAUGGAAUGUUUUUCCAUUUCUUUGUGUCCUCCUGCAUUUCUUUCAGGAGUACUUUAUAGUUUUUUGAAUACUGGACCCCUUCUGAUCUGCCCCACCCCGCCACUCUGCACCCAAGUGCUAUGUCAAGGACACUAAUGAUCGUGGUGCCAAACCCAGUGGCUCCUUCCUCACUUUAUCCUAUGGACCCUUCUGACCGCCCUCCUCUUGCGAUCUCUGAAACACUGCCCUCUCCGUCUCCUUUGCACAGCCUCGAGAAGGUGGGAGUCCGCGAGGGAGCGCCCUGGGCCCCUUUUGCAGCCUCCACUCCCCCCUGUGCUGACCUCACUCAUCCUCAGGGCUCGAAACACCAUCUGUGUAUCGGUCAUUCCCAAAUGACAUCCCUAGCAGUGUGCCCUCCCCCAAGCUUUUUACCCCUACUCCAGCUGUCCCUGGACAUAUCCUCGUCUGUGUCUCACAGACCACACCAGCCUCAGUGAGAACAUGGAACCUGGGCUGCCCGGUUGCCAGAAGCCUCCGGCGUCAGUGUGUAGCAGUACCACCGCCCACCUUCCGCCCGGCUGGCCGAGCCAGACCCUCAGAGGCUGCGCAUUUUUGAUAGACGUCAUUAAGGAGGGACAACCGGCAAGUGGAAAAGUAUACCACCUGCGUCUGCAUGACUCGGUGACUUUUCAUAACCUGCAGUCUGGACAGGCCUCGGACGGGUCGCCUCAUCUGCUCUACUCCACGUCGGUGGGGGCGGAGUGAGGGCUGGGAGUCGGCACCAUCCGGAGGCCCCUGCACCCCACGGUCAGCCGCGGGCCCUGCUGGGGCGAAGACCCCCGAACGUAACCAUGUGGCCUCUUCCCAGCAAGGUUGCUGGCUGCUGAGGUGGAGCAUCUUUUUUUUUUUUUUUUUUUUUUUAACACAUAAUGUAUUAUUAGCCCCAGGGGUGCAGGUGUGUGAAUCGUCAGGCUUACACGCUUCACAGCGCUCACCGUAGCGCAUGCCCUCCCCGGUGUCCAUCCCCAGCCACCCCCAGAUUGUUUGUGAGAUUAAGAAUCUCUUACAAAGAAGGGAGUUGGGGGAAAUCAGAGGGGGAGACAACCACGACAGACUGUGGACUCUGAGGGACGUGGUGGUGCGUAUUCGGGAGGGCACGGACGGCAUGGAGUGCUGGGUGUGCUGCAUAAAUGAUGAAAUCUGGAACACGGAAGAGAAAUUUAAAAAAUAAAUACAAAUUUUUUAAGAAAGAGUCUCUUGGGGCUCCUGGGUGGCGCAGUUGGUUAAGCAACUGCCUUUGGCUCAGGUCACGGUCCCGGAGUCCCGGGAUCGAGUCCCGCAUCGGGCUCCCAGCUCCACGGGGAGUCUGCUUCUCCCUCUGACCUUCCCGCCUCUCAUGCUCUCUCUCACUGUCUCUCUCUCAAAUAAAUAAAUACAUAAAUACAUAAAAAUCUUUAAAAAAAAAAAAAAAAGAGUCUCUUACGGUUUGUCUCCCUCCCUGGUCCCAUCUGGUUUCAUUUUUUCCCUCCGUGCCCCCCACGACCCUGGCCCUGCCCCUCAAAUUCCUCCUAUCAGGGGGAGUCAUAUGAUAAUUAUCUUUCUCUGUCUGACUUAUUUAAGGCAGAGUGUCUUGAGAGAGCCCCGGGGCAGGCAGUGUCACCUUCGCCGCCUGGUCUUUGGGCACUGUCAUCGGGAGAAGCCAGCGGCUAAGACCGGUCUGUACUCCCGGGGGACAGGAAUUACAGCCCAACUUUGGGUGACCGGAGUGCCAAAGAGCUCAUGGGCACGUUUAAAAGCAGUACAAAGACACUUUCGUCGUUCUAGAAAGAUCCCUCACGCGGAAGAGCCCCACACAUAGACUGCAGUCGGAGCUCCUCGGCGCGGCCCGCAGCGGGGCCUCAUUGCUUUGCGUUCCUGUGGACUGUCCCCCUGUGUGACUAGAGCCCACCCACGGCCUCCUGGCCUCCUGCCGAGCCAGGGGCUGUCCCGCCUGGGCUGGCGUCCGUGCAGGCCCGUCGAGCCCGGUACCCGCAUUUCCCCAUCUUCACUGCGCUCGAGCGCUGUGUCUCCGGCUCACAGCUGUGUCCCCGGUUCGGGGGCGUGUCCCCGCAGGGACAAGAGGUGCUAAACCUCAGUGGGCAGGCAGGACAGACGUCUUGGACGCCACGAGUCCACCUUUUCACUCUCCCAAUGAAGCCUUUUGGUGAGUGGUUCGUAGCUGCAGGGAAGCCUAGUUCCGUUGAAGAGCGUCAUGCCCAUCCAAGGGCAGGAGGACCGUCUCCUUCGACCCCAAGAUGCUCCAUUGCUUUCUCUCUCACAUUUAGGUUGAUGUUUGGUUUUGUUGGUGCACGGACAUCACGGGGUCUUUUCCCCCCACGUGGACAGCCCGUUUACCCCACAGCAGGCUGUAAAAUGACUAUCUUUCCGCCCCGAACGAAAGCAGGGACUCGGUAUCUGUCUAGCGUGGGUCCUGCCGCACCCACCACACCCAUCACACCCACACCGCACUAGCUUUGUUACUAGGACCAUGGAGUAAGUGUUCAUCUCAACGGCCGGUGAGCACGCGGGGCUUUCCAGAUCGGCUUUGCUCUUGCACACACACAGCUGGUGGGACUGUAAGACGGUUCUGUCGCUUUGGAAAACGGUCUCACGGUGCCUUACAAGGUCAUUGCACACCUGUACGAUGCGGUGUGACCAUUCCGCUUGCAGGAUUUCCGCAGGGGAACUGCACUCAUGCGUCCACACACAGACCGGGACACAGAUGCUCACGACGUCCCUACCCACGACAGCUGGCCGGUGGCAACAACCCACAUGGACAUCAGGCAACCGCACAAGCAAAGUGCAUGCUCCAUACAACGGAAGAAGGCUGUGCGAGAAGCUGGGAAGCGACCCAGCGGGCGGAGGAGCGCGUGCCCAUGGCACCAGCUCCGGGUUCUGGGCGGUGCGGACUCACCUCUGGGCGCAGAGAGCUCCUCGGUGGUGCCCGCGGGAGGGGCUGCCGGGACUAUGAGGAAACUUUGGGGAAUGAUGGUUUCACAGAUAAAACCUUCACUGUGCAGUUCCUUUUGUAUCAAUUCUAGUUCAGUAAAGUUGUUUUUUUUAAAAAAUAUAAUGUCUCGAGGUACCUGGGUGGCUCGCUCAGUUAAGUGUCGCCUUUGGCUCAGAUCGGUCCUGCUUCAGGCUCGCUGUGCAGCAGGGAGUCUGCUUCUCUGUCCACCUAGUCCCCUGCUGGUGCUGUCCCUCUCUGUCUCUCAAGUAAAUAAAUUUUUUAAAAAACAUAAUGUCUCUUUUAAGCAGCAUCUUCUUGGAGUUUUUCCCCCACUUUUUUUUUUUUUUAAGAUUUUAUUUAUUUAUUUGACACAGAGAGAGAUCACAAGUAGGCAGAGCAGCAGGCUGAGAGAGACGAAGAAGCAGGCUCCCCACUGAGCAGAGAGCCCGAUGCGGGGCUCGAUCCCAGGACCCGGGGACCAUGACCUGAGCCGAAGGCAGAGGCUUAACCCACUGAGCCACGCAGGCGCCCCUUUUCCCUGCUUUUAUCCAGCCUGGCAAUCAUUGUUUAUCCAUUAACAUUCUAAUGUAUUUACCAAGAUGUGUGUAGGAGUGUGUGUGUGUGUGUGUGUGUGUUGCCAAAUUUAAAUGACAAUACAUAUCACCGGGUAUUUGUAUACAGUUCUGUGCAUUACAUCUUCACUGUGAUGUAGCAUUCCCCACUCUCUGCACACUGGAGCUUUUCCAUCCUACCAGCAUGAGCUCUGCGCCCUUGAACCAGUACUGCCCCC